CCUACGGGAGGCAGCAGUGGGGAAUAUUGGGCAAUGGGCGCAAGCCUGACCCAGCAACGCCGCGUGAAGGAAGAAGGCUUUCGGGUUGUAAACUUCUUUUCUGAGGGACGAAGAAAGUGACGGUACCUCAGGAAUAAGCCACGGCUAACUACGUGCCAGCAGCCGCGGUAAUACGUAGGUGGCAAGCGUUAUCCGGAUUUAUUGGGUUUAAAGGGUGCGCAGGCGGAUUUUUAAGUCAGCGGUCAAAUCGUGGGGCUCAACCCCAUCCAGCCGUUGAAACUGGGGAUCUAGAGUGUGCGAGAGGUAUGCGGAAUGCGUGGUGUAGCGGUGAAAUGCAUAGAUAUCACGCAGAACCCCGAUUGCGAAGGCAGCAUACCGGUGCACAACUGACGCUCAGGCACGAAAGCGUGGGUAUCGAACAGGAUUAGAUACCCGAGUAGUC
rnacentral:rRNA from 1 species